rnacentral:rRNA from 1 species
UAGGGAAUCUUCGGCAAUGGACGAAAGUCUGACCGAGCAACGCCGCGUGAGUGAAGAAGGUUUUCGGACCGUAAAACUCUGUUGGUAGAGAAGAACGUUGGUGAGAGUGGAAAGCUCAUCAAGUGACGGUAACUACCCAGAAAGGGACGGCUAACUACGUGCCAC